rnacentral:piRNA from 1 species
UAAGGACCGAUCAAACUGUUUCAGUUUGCACA